rnacentral:lncRNA from 1 species
CAUGGACAGACACGUUAUAUAACAAAGGUAAAGAUUCUAGUCAUUUGCAUAGCUCAGACCUCACCUAAAAGGUCUUGUGAAAGAGGUGUACACAAGCACAUCCUCUUUCAGGAUAUGCAGGUACCAUGUUUCUCAUGGGUACCUUCAUCAUAGAGGGCCUUUUCCCCUGCCUCACACAAUGAGGUCCCAAUCACUGCUCAGGGCCUUAUCUGUAGGCGAGAGUUAAUGAAAACAUCAGAAGCAUAGUAUUAGGUGUAAGGAGCAUCUUGAUAAACUGGAGCCCAGCAAGAUUGCAAAGUGUGAGCAGGCUUUCUUGUCACACAGUUUCAGCCAACACCAACCCCUGCUGGACCAUAUCAGGACUGAUGGGAAGAUCUCAGAAGAGCCAAAGGCAAAAUCGGAACAAACUUCUUGGCUGGAUUUGAAGCAUAAACUCACGAAUUCACUUCAAAUACUGGUUUCAUUUUGUCAUCGCUCAUUCUAGUAAAAUCGGUUCCAUUUGUAAAGGGUCCUCUUAAAUUCCCCAUAUACAGCAAUCAUGUUAAAAUAAAAGUUCCAUAUUGUCUGGUUAAAAAAGUCCCUGUCACACUGUUUUAAUUACUAGAGCUUCAAAGGACAUUUUGUUGUCUGGUGAGAACAUACCGCUCCUCAUUGUUCUUAUUUUUCAAAAUUUGUUUAUUUAAUCACUUUUCCACUUUCCAGAUGAUCUUUAAGUUCUAAAAGAAUUAUUUUGAGAUUCUGAUGGAAAGUGCACUUAUUUACAGACAGGAAAGGAAGAUAACAGAUUCUAGUAUCCUAAUAAAGAAUGUCUAGAGAGUCCAUUUACAGUUAGAGCUGAGGUUGUAGACACAUAACCUAAACAACUGCUCUUUAGUAAAGGAUGCAGUAAGUUAAGG